rnacentral:siRNA from 1 species
CGCCGAUGAUGGGUAAGGUUUA